AGAGUUUGAUCCUGGCUCAGGACGAACGCUGGCGGCGUGCUUAACACAUGCAAGUCGAACGGUAAGGCCCCUUUUUUUGGGGUGUACGAGUGGCGAACGGGUGAGUAACACGUGAGUAACCUGCCCCAGACUUUGGGAUAACAGUUGGAAACGAUUGCUAAUACUGGAUAUGAGCUGCUGCCGCAUGGUGGUGGUUUGAAAGUUCCGGCGGUUUGGGAUGGGCUCGCGGCCUAUCAGCUUGUUGGUGAGGUGAUGGCUUACCAAGGCUUCGACGGGUAGCCGGCCUGAGAGGGCGACCGGCCACAUUGGGACUGAGAUACGGCCCAAACUCCUACGGGAGGCAGCAGUGGGGAAUAUUGCACAAUGGACGGAAGUCUGAUGCAGCAACGCCGCGUGCGGGAUGACGGCCUUCGGGUUGUAAACCGCUUUCAUCCAUGACGAAGCUUUUGUGACGGUAGUGGGUAAAGAAGCACCGGCUAACUACGUGCCAGCAGCCGCGGUGAUACGUAGGGUGCGAGCGUUGUCCGGAUUUAUUGGGCGUAAAGAGCUUGUAGGUGGUUUGUCGCGUCGGGAGUGAAAACUCGGAGCUUAACUUUGAGCUUGCUUUCGAUACGGGCUGACUUGAGGGAGGUAGGGGAGAAUGGAAUUCCUGGUGGAGCGGUGGAAUGCGCAGAUAUCAGGAGGAACACCGGUGGCGAAGGCGGUUCUCUGGACCUUUCCUGACGCUGAGAAGCGAAAGCGUGGGGAGCGAACAGGCUUAGAUACCCUGGUAGUCCACGCCGUAAACGGUGGGUACUAGGUGUGGGGGACAUUCCACGUUCUCCGUGCCGUAGCUAACGCAUUAAGUACCCCGCCUGGGGAGUACGGCCGCAAGGCUAAAACUCAAAGGAAUUGACGGGGCCCCGCACAAGCGGCGGAGCAUGCGGAUUAAUUCGAUGCAACGCGAAGAACCUUACCUGGGUUUGACAUAUGCCGGGAGCGUUCAGAGAUGGGCGUGCCUUUUUGGUCGGUUUACAGGUGGUGCAUGGCUGUCGUCAGCUCGUGUCGUGAGAUGUUGGGUUAAGUCCCGCAACGAGCGCAACCC
rnacentral:rRNA from 1 species